UGUCACUGUUCUACGCUAUUCUGUGUUAUUUAAAUACAGUUCUAUACUGUAGCUCUGAUUUCUCUCUCCCGCAGAAGGUUGGAUAAAGUGUUGUGACUGGUCACAGCAGUCCGGCCCCUAAAAAACAAUUAUCCUUGACAAAACCGGUUCAGUCCGGUUUAACGCGAAAGUGAAAUUUUUGUGCUCCAUUUUAAGAAGCGCAAUGCAAAUAUCUUUAGAAAAGAAAGCCGAAACAAACUGCGCAAAUAGAACAGGCGUCGUACUGCAGGAAGUGUCACAAAUGUCUCGGACUGUGAGCCAGUAGAUCUAACAGUAAGUGUUUAGGUGUCCAACUAGAUGUAGACUAUUUGUUUUAUCAGGCUAAGACCGUGCUGUUUACACGAUCAUGUCGUAAUUAGACUGACAGUGUGAGGUUAGUAUUGUACCAAUAGUGUGCAUGUCAGUGUAACUAAAGAAGUAAUAUUUAUAAUAUUUAUUAGUAAUAUUAUUAAGUGAUAUUUCGACACUGUUUCUUUGUAUGACAGUGAUUGAGUUAGUCUGUGACCCACUAUGCACUUACAGAACACAUUUUUCCUGCCUCUGUCUUCUUUUCCACUUUGGACUGAUACUGUUCACUACACCCACGUUUUUGAGUUUGUUUUAGUGCUGUAACAUUACGGUUUAAACUUUAUGCAUUAUUUGCUCAUUUUAAUAAACCAUAUUUUGUACUUAUAAAGUUAGUAAAGGUGCCUGUCUACACCAAAGCUCUUAAAAACAUGAAUGACUGUUUCUCUUUUGAGAACAUUAAGCGAGAAAAUACUGUAAUGUUUCGCUUAUAGGCGCAUUCCGAGCUAAAGCGUGAAUGUCUUGGUCGUGCUUCGUUAAAGCGCGUGAAUGUCUUGGUCGUGCUUCGUUAAAGCGCGUGAAUGUCUUGGUCGUGCUUCGUUAAAGCGCGUGAAUGUCUUGGUCGUGAUUGAUUAAAGCGCGUGAAUGUCUUGAUCGUGAUUGAUUAAAGCGCCUGAAUGUUUUGGUCGUGAUUGAUUAAAGCGCGUGAAUGUCUUGGUCGUGACUCGUUAAACGGAGAUCUUGGCUGCAAUUCGGACUGUGAACCAGUAGAUCUGACAGAACGUGUUUACACGUCCAACUCGGCUACGUGUUUUGAACUGGCUAAGACAGUGAUUUUAUACGAUCGUGUGUUAGUUCAACUAACAGUGUCAGACUAGUAUUGUACCAACGUUCAGUUGAAUAAUAACUGUGAGGCAGAGUCAGUACAAGUAUUGAACCAUUUUACAUGUUUGGUUUACUCCUUUGUCGGUAAGUUAUUGAAUGGAUGAAAGAUUGUUGUGUAAUAUUUUUUGGCAUUGUCUUUUGUUUCAGCAUAAAGCUGAACGUCACAAGAAAGCCCACCAAAAACAGAACAGAGUAUGUACAGUUACACUGUGUACUUCCUUAUUCAAGUAUUUAGGGUACGUAGGAAGAGUCUGAAUGAGUACUGCACAAACUAACUAGUGGUCUCUGUUGACGUCGGUGAAGCUAUCCGCGCGUUAGCGCUUCAUGGUCAAGUCGCCGAGAUUCAAAUUGAAUGCGCCUAUAUGCACGAUAUUGCGGCAUUUGGUUGCUCACUUCAAACUAACGCUCUCUAAGCAUAGAGAAAUGCAGACUAACUGUUUUUUGAAGAGCUUUGGAUUAGACAUGUACUUUUACUACAAAAAUACAAAAUGAAGUGUAUUUGAUUAAAAGCAAAACAUUCACAAAGUUUGAACCAUGAGCUCAGAAUACUGAUGUUAUAUAUAUAAAAUGUGUAUAGUGUAUGAAGAUGUGCUGCUGCAUGAAAGUACACAUUGCUGGUAUGUAUACUUUGAAUGGAUAUUGCAUCAACACUAUUAAAAAUAUGUUAAAGUAGCUUAAUAAGCACUGCUCAAAAUGAUUUUCCUAUAGAGUGCUUCUCAGAGGUUUAUCAUACAGCUUGACUGCCAGCUAAAACAGCACUUAGCACUAGUGCAAUAUUGUACAUAUCUCCAGUGCUGAAAAAUCAGACUGAAAAAAAAAAAAAAAAGAUUGAAGGCACUUGCUUAUCAGAUCAAAUUUGAAAAAACUCUACUGUGCCAGUUUUUUUUUUAAAUAUAUUUAUAUUGAAGUCCUACUUUUAAUGGGGUUUAAAUGCUCACUCAUACAGAGAACAUAUGAUUACUAUAUCUAUGAAUUUUCCCAUAAUGCCAAAUCAGUUCCACUACCACCAAAGAGUGACAGCCUUUGACUUUCACAGCUGCAAGAUUUGGCAAUUUCUAGUGUACUAUUUUUUUUUUCCCUUUUUCAAAAACCAGUAUUAAAAUACUAAUGUGGUUAAUGGGGCUUAGAGACAGUUAUCUAUAACUUACUUCUUUUCUAAUUGUAUUACUUAUUUUAAGUAAUGUGGUCAUUUACAUAAUGUUCUAUAGGUCUAUGCAGUCUUUAAAAUCAGCUUUGGGUAAUUAUGUUUGGUGUCAUUUGUGACUUUGUAAAACAUAACUCAUUACAUAUCUGAUAAAGUUUUUCUUUCCCUGAUUAUCAACCAGCAGAAGAGAACUGGUGUUUGCUGAAUCAGAAGAGACCAAGAGUCAGAUGUGUAACUUUGUGCUUUAAGUCAAAGAAGUAAUAAGUGUCAGGAAUGCUGGAUGUCAGACAAUCCCAGGUUGGAGAGCAAAUGUGCAAACAUGG